GGGAGUGUCCGGACGCCUGGUGGGUCCCGCGGCCUUCAAAGCCGUUGAAGCGUUGUACAAGCAGCGCUUGGUGGGUUCGAUUCCCAUCCACUCCCG
rnacentral:tRNA from 1 species